rnacentral:rRNA from 1 species
GACGAACGCUGGCGGCGUGCUUAACACAUGCAAGUCGAACGAUGAAGCCGGAGCUUGCUCUGGUGAAUUAGUGGCGAACGGGUGAGUAACAUGUGAGAAACCUGCCCUUGACUCUGGGAUAACUGCGGGAAACUGUAGCUAAUACCGGAUACGACCCUCGGAGGCAUCUCCUGGGGGUGGAAAGAAUUUCGGUCAAGGAUGGACUCGCGGCCUAUCAGCUAGUUGGUGAGGUAAAGGCUCACCAAGGCGACGACGGGUAGCCGGCCUGAGAGGGGGACCGGCCACACUGGGACUGAGACACGGCCCAGACUCCUACGGGAGGCAGCAGUGGGGAAUAGUGCACAAUGGGCGCAAGCCUGAUGCAGCAACGCCGCGUGAGGGAUGACGGCCUUCGGGUUGUAAACCUCUUUUAGCAGGGAAGAAGCGAAAGUGACGGUACCUGCAGAAAAAGCACCGGCUAACUACGUGCCAGCAGCCGCGGUAA